rnacentral:lncRNA from 1 species
AGUUGGUUUUUAUGAAGGGUAUUUAUUCGGGGCAGGAGCUUACAGAUGCCAGGCCAUAAAGUAUAAGUUACUUCCCUCACCAAAGUCUAUUUUCAAGUGUUGGAGCAAGAUGGCUGCCGACGUCUGCAAGGGUUCAGGCUUCCUGGGUUCUUCUCUUUCCAGGUCUUACUUCUCUUUCCUCUGUGUGCUUACUUCCCAGGGCUCCAGUUUAAGACUUCGGCAUCAAACUCCAACGUCAAAAACCUCCAGCUCUGUCUUUUGCCGCGUCUUUCAUCUCCAGUCACAGGACAUGAUAUUUGAAUCAUGAAGCGAAUUUUGGAAUGGAAGACAUUCACUAGGAUGAUGACUUUCUACAGGCUAUGGGGAUACAUGCCUCUGGAUUUUCCUUUGAGCAAGAGAUUACUUUCUGCCUUUUUAAAGGCAAAUGAGCCAAAUAUAAUGCUGACUGAUAAAUGAAUAUUAAUAUUAUAAUGAAAAACCCCAACAUUUAAAGAGUAGUAUGGAAAGGAAUUGUUAGGUAAAGAAGACUGAGCAAGGGAAAACAGGAAGGAGUAGCAGUAUACCAGAAUUUCAAGAGAAAAGGAUUCAAGAGGUAAUAUGGGGACAAUAGUAGCAGAUGUUUAAGAGAAGUCAAGUAGGAAGAGGCUUGAAUGCAGGCCAUUACAUUUAGAAUUACCAAAUCACUGCUGACUUUAAGGAGAGCAGUUUAAGAAAAUGGUAAUGGUGAAAAUUAAGUUCAAAUGGGCUUCAGAGUGAACAAGAUUCAAAGAAGCUGAAUUAAUAUUUGUUAAUUUUAUGAAGAUGGGAAAUAAAACAAAAGGUGAAGAUAAGAUAAAAUGGAUAAAAGAUGUUUGAUGUCUUUUCUCACAACCACACUACAUCUCUAAUUAUCCUGAUUCUGCUAAUAUUAGCAAUUGUUGAAUAAAUUAAAAGAGGUUGGGGAGCAGAUGUAGCUCAAGUAGAGCUUCUGAUUCCCAUGUACAAGGUCUCAGUUUUGAUCCCUGGUACCUCCUAAAAACAAAGAAACAAAUGAUAAAAGCAACUCACAUUGGGGAGCAGCUGUACCUCAGUGGUUGAGCACCUACUUUCCCAUG